rnacentral:rRNA from 1 species
AGUUUGAUCCGGGCUCAAAUUGAACGCUGGGGGUGGCCUUACACUGGCAAUUCAAACAGAUCCUUGGUCUANCUUGCUAAAUUGAUGGCAAGUGGCGAAAAUCUGACUUUUACUUCGGAACGUGCCCUGUAAAGGGAAAUAACUACUCGAAAAAUAAGUUAAUACCGCGAAUUACCUGAGGGUGAAAAUGGGGGACCGCAAGGCCUCUUGCGUUAGGAGCGGGCGAUGUCUGAUUANCUCUUGGUGGGGUAAAGGCGGACCAUCGCGACAAUCAGGACUGGGUCUGAGAGGACGAUCANCGCCCUGGGACUGAGAGAAUAUCCACACUCCUCCGAAAGGCUGCUGUGGGAAUUUUUUGUGAGUGAUGAAGGCCCUAAUCCUGCAAUGCCCUGUGUGUCAAGAAGAUCUUCCCGGUGUUAGGAAAUUUUGCUCCGAAUAAAUUCACGCUUUCUUACUUUGUAUUGCGGACGGAGCUCGCGUUAUAAUAAAUUACGGCUAACUACGUGCCAGCAGGCGGCUAAACACGUAAGGAGC